rnacentral:rRNA from 2 species
CGCGACCCCAGGUCAGGCGGGAUUAC